AACAUCAAAGCAGUAGCUACAAAAAAAUAUUGAAAUAUAGGGUUUCAUUCAUCAGACUUUGUGAUCGUUUUGGGGGAAAAAAAUAUUGCUUUCAGAUAUAAGAUGUGAGUCAGUGAGUGUGCCUUUUACUAAUCAUACGGAAGCGUUUUAAUUCUUCAACAGCUUUACCUACGAAUACGAUGACUGACUGAUUUAUGCCACACGCUGUUGCGAGGAAGCUGUGAGUAAGACGUGUGUGUCAAGCGAAGGCUUGGCUCAAACGGCUUCUAAAGUUGGAGGGUAAUGCGUGAGGCUGGUUUCACAGAGCAGCGACUACUUCCCGCUUACAGCAGUGGACGGAUCACAGUUUAGCGUCGCUCAGAACCACUAUGGCCUGCUGGUCCGAUCUCAUAUGAACCACCAUUUUUUUCCUUCUUUUGAUUUUGUUUUCCAAAACUUUCUACGCUUUUUGUUUAUACUUUAAGAGGGAACAAAAGCAAACUUUGAACAAAGCAAGAGACGAAGAGUUGUAU